ensembl:lncRNA
CUUGUCUGUCACCAGCAUGGUCAUGCUUCCAUCCUCAAGGGGACCAGGCAGUAGAGUGGUCUUUAAGGGAAGAUCAAACCUUGGGUUGGCAAAGUUGGCCAUGGACCUGUAGGGGUGUCCCCAAGCGAUAAACAGAGAAACAGGCCCCUGCAUAACAGCAACAAACCCAGAAAUGUGUAGGAACAAAGCAUGUCAUGUAAUCAGAAUCCUGGCUUCACGGACGCAGACGGGGCAAGGUCACCGGCCACACGGCCUGUCCCCCUCUGUUGUCACGCCAGGGGGGGUGGGACACGAUUCCACCUUAGCACCUGUCACAGGCACUGAAGCCUGCCGCCCGAAUCGAAAUGCAGAGGACACGAGCGCUUAUUUCACUGACUGCUCCCGCGGACAAUCCCUCUCCCGACCUUCACCCACUUGCACGCACGCGCGUGCGCACUCACAGGGCCGGGUGGGACGGACAGACUGACACGUGGCUCUGCCCGCGGGGCAGCGGGAAUGGACGCGCUCUCCAGGAGCUCGGUAAUAGCCCCCAUCACCACCCUGUUCCGGGGCCGCCCACACGGGGCGGGCUUCCGGGGACCCCCAGGGCCCCUCUCUGGGUUCCCUGGCCUGCCUCGCCCGCAGCCCCGAGCUCAGGGAUCCGGCGACAAUUACCUGCAAGGGUGACAUCCGCACCUCGGGGCGCUGCUCUGCUCUUCCAAGCUGGGCGUGCGCCUCGGGCCGCGCCUUGGGGACCUGUGAGUCUCCCGGACACUAAAGGCGUCCCACGGACCGAGCAAGGCAGGCCCACCCGGAGGAAGAAAACGGGAGCGAGGGAGAAGCGGCUGGAAAGCGGGCCAGACAAAGACACUAGGACAGACACACAGACAGCUGUGGUGCAACCCGGAGACGCCCUGCAUGGGUACAGUCACGCGAGCCCGGAGAUGCCCCACGGGCCUACGGUCACAGGAACCUAGAGACACCCUGCAGGCGUCGAGUCAGGUAGCCUAGAGACACCCUGCACGCCUACAGUCACCCGAGCCUAGAAACACCCUGCACGUGUACAGUCAUGUGCGCCCAGAGACACCCUGCACGCAUACAGUCACGUGAGCCUAGAGACACCCUGCUCGCUCGCAUAUAGUCGGGUAGCCUAGAAACACCCUGCACAGGCAGUCCCAUGAGCCUAGAAACACUUGGCACAUGUACAGUCACCCAAACCUAGAAACACCCUGCACAUGUACAGUCACGUGAGCCUAGAAUCACCCUGUAUGCAGUCACCUGAGCCUAGAAGCACCCUGCAUGCCUACAGUCACCCGAGGCCAGAAACUCCCUGCAUGCAGUCACCUGAGCCUAGAAACACCGUGCACGUGCACAGUCCCAUGAGCCUAGAAACACUUGGCACACGUAGAGUCAGGUAGCCCAGAAAUAUCCUGCACACGUACAGCCACGUGAGCCCAGAAACACCCUGCACGGCACAGUCACGGGAGCCUAGCGACACCCUGCACGCCUACAAUUCCAUGGUUGAGGCACAGGCCCUGCAGAGUAACCCAUCAGUCCUUAGAUCAGAGGCCACUUUCCCUCCACUCCUUAGGCACUUAGCGGACAUUGGCUGCUCACAGACAUUGCCGGCGCCCGUGCACAGCCAGCCUGGAACAGGUGGGAGGCCCCGGGAUACGCCUCAUGCAGGAGUCUUACUUACUCACGCCCUAGGCCACUGAGGUGCCCAAUGAGGGAAGCGCAGUUAAAACAAGUUGUCACAUGAGUAGGAGCAGAGCAGGCUCACCUUGCUCGCCUCGUUCCCCAAGAGGCCAACCAGAGUGGGGGAGGUGGUCUUUGACCCCAGCUUCCCAGGCCAAAGGCCUCCAUUUCCUGUUAAGGUUGCACAUUUAGUGUGAAGGCACCGCUGUCAGCUCUGAAAGGGAAGGGAAUGCUCAUGACACGCUUUAAACUCACACGACUACAUCAUGGGCAUCCGUUUUUAAAAAAACAAAAUCUAGAACUUCCUAAUGAAGACCACAAUCACGUGAUUCCUUUUUAUGACAUGAAAAACUUUAACUUGUUAAAUGUACACGACCACGAUGUGCCAUACUAUUAGAAAUCUGGUUUGGGUAUUUCUCAUUAUUUAUACAGAGAGCCUCUGAGAAGCCCAGCUCCGGACUUUGGCUAUCUUUGCCACCCACGGUAAAAUUAGGAAAGCGGAGAGCUCGUCCAGUUGCUUGUCCAUUUGUUUAUUGUUAUCAUUUAAUUUUUACCAUCUCUUCUUUUGGGAGGUGGGCAGAGGGUUGGGGUGACUGGGUGACAGGCACUGAGGGGGGCACUUGACGGGAUGAGAACUGGGUGAUAUGCUAUAUGUUGGAAAGUUGAACUCCAAUUAAAAAAAAUAAUAACAGGGAUCCCUGGGUGGCGCAGCGGUUUGGCGCCUGCCUUUGGCCCAGGGCGUGAUCCUGGAGACCCGGGAUCGAAUCCCACAUCGGGCUCCCGGUGCAUGGAGCCUGCUUCUCCCUCUGCCUGUGUCUCUGCCUCUCUCUCUCUCUGUGUGACUAUCAUAAAUAAAUAAAAAUUUAAAAAAAUAAUAAUAAUAACA